rnacentral:rRNA from 1 species
GAUGAACGCUAGCGGCAGGCUUAAUACAUGCAAGUCGUGGGGCAGCGCAGUGUAGCAAUACAUGGGCGGCGACCGGCAAACGGGUGCGGAACACGUACGCAACCUUCCUUUAAGUGGGGGAUAGCCCAGGGAAACUUGGAUUAAUACCCCGUAAUACUAUGAAGUGGCAUCACUUUAUAAUUAUAGCUCCGGCGCUUAAAGAUGGGCGUGCGCCUGAUUAGGUAGUUGGCGGGGUAACGGCCCACCAAGCCUUCGAUCAGUAACUGGUGUGAGAGCACGACCAGUCACACGGGCACUGAGACACGGGCCCGACUCCUACGGGAGGCAGCAGUAAGGAAUAUUGGUCAAUGGACGCAAGUCUGAACCAGCCAUGCCGCGUGGAGGAUGAAGGUCCUCUGGAUUGUAAACUUCUUUUAUUUGGGAAGAAACCCACGAUUUCUAUUGUGGUUGACGGUACCAGAUGAAUAAGCACCGGCUAACUCCGUGCCAGCAGCCGCGGUAA